UACUUACUCCCUCCGUCCAAUAAAAGAUGUUUCAAGUUUAUCAAAAUUUGGAUGUAUUUAGGCAUGACUUAGUGUAUAGAUACAUUCAAAUUUAGUCAAAGUUGAGACAUUCUUUGUUGGACGGAAGAAUACAUG
rnacentral:pre_miRNA from 1 species